ACCAGGCUGGCUCAGUCGGUAGAGCACGUGACUCUUGAUCUUGGGGUUGUAAGUUCAAGCCCCACGUUGAGUG
rnacentral:tRNA from 1 species